rnacentral:rRNA from 1 species
CAGUAGCCGCGGUAAUACGGAGGGUGCGAGCGUUAAUCGGAAUAACUGGGCGUAAAGGGCACGCAGGCGGUGACUUAAGUGAGGUGUGAAAGCCCCGGGCUUAACCUGGGAAUUGCAUUUCAUACUGGGUCGCUAGAGUACUUUAGGGAGGGGUAGAAUUCCACGUGUAGCGGUGAAAUGCGUAGAGAUGUGGAGGAAUACCGAAGGCGAAGGCAGCCCCUUGGGAAUGUACUGACGCUCAUGUGCGAAAGCGUGGGGAGCAAACAGGAUUAGAUACCUCUGUAGUCCCUGUCUCUUAUAC